UACGGGGGGGGUAAGCGUUGUUCGGAAUUACUGGGCGUAAAGGGCUCGUAGGCGGCCAACUAAGUCAGACGUGAAAUCCCUCAGCUUAACUGGGGAACUGCGUCUGAUACUGGAUGGCUUGGAUCCGGAAGAGGGAUGCGGAAUUCCAGGUGUAGCGGUGAAAUGCUUAGAUAUCGUCAAGAACACCUAUAGCGAAGGCAGCUUACUAGGCUGUAACUGACGCUGAGGCACGAAAGUGUGGGGAUCAAACAGG
rnacentral:rRNA from 1 species